UAAUGGUUAACAGCUUUUUUUUAUUAGCAACACUGAGAUAAGUUAUUGAAGCAUUUUAGUAUUGUUUUACAUUCCAUUCAGAAGUGACCUAACUUGUAACUCCAUAUACAUUUAAAGAUAUAGUUUGACACUUAUUCAGAAAGCAACAAUUAUUAAAACUUACAUACCUUCAUUACCAGGAAACCUUAAUAUAUUUUCUAAUUACUUCCAACAAUACUCUAUUCCAAAGCACAUGAUAACCCACUAGAAGUUUACACAUUUCACUUCAAUCACAGGUUUCAAAUUGUGGAUGUCAGAGUGCUGUUCAUUGAAUUUCACUGUCUUUCUUGGUUAAUAUUGGAAAACCUGGCACAAUAUAUUAAGCUAGAAAUAUUGCUUAAAGAAUAUGAAAAAAGAUAACUACAGUAUUUUUUCCUGCUAAAGCAUUACAAAAUACAGGACCAUUAAAAACUCAAAUAGAAAUGACAAUAAAUAACCUUAAAAAUGUUAAGAGAAUUUUCACUCAUACUAAAGUCCAUUCCCUAAGCUUGCCAAACACAUAAAUAACAGAACAUAUUCAGGACCUCUAUUUUUGUACUAUGACAAUGGUUUGUUAUAUAUUGUGGAUGUAUUGUGUAUACAUAUAUUAAUGCUUACACUUAAGGUAUAUAUUUUUUUCUUUGCUGAAACAAUUAAUAAGCCUCAGGUAAUUAUUCAUCCCUGGCACUACAGGUAUCUAGGUAGGUGGGAGCAAACCUCAGAAAUUCCGGAUAUGCAAUAAGAUAUCCUAAAUUCUUUAGAUUACAAAGAUGAAUUUGGUUAUUUAUUUCUGAAAGCCUGUAACUAAAAAUUAUAAUUGCUGUCAAAUUAAUUGUUUAAAAUUGGCCUCAUAAUAUGUAUUAAUUGUACACUUAGUUUUGACUUACAAGGAUAUCUAAAUUGUUCUUGUUUACGAGUAGUUAUAGGAAAUACUAUACCUCAGACACAAGAACAUAUAUUCCUGAACCAAAACACAAACCAGAGCAUUGUCUGACUUUGGAAAGACCUGGAAACUUCUCUAUGCCUGUGUCUAAUCCUAAAUUAUAAUUAAAUUUGACCUGAAUAUGACAAAAACAAUAAGAAUAUAUUGUUGGGGAGAUGAAACUUAGAGCAGAAUCAUACAUCUCUAAGCUUACAUCAUUACUUUGUCUCUGCAAAGAAAAGCCUUUCUGUGCUAGGGAUUUGCCUUGGUGCGGCUGGUCACUGAUGUCUGAAAUCAAGGCACAUACCAAGGCCUCCUUUUGCAAACACAAUCCCCCUUUCAGAUCUGGAGCUGGGAGGGACUGAAUGCCUCCAGUUUCACGGGCAAUAGAAGGUGCUCAGCACUCAGCUGUAUCAGAUGUUUUAGGGGUUAAUUUCCAGAAACAUAAAUGGAAUGGGAAUGUUACACCGUGACAUGAAGAAUGGUAAGAAAUCAAAGUUUUCAACAGUAAACAGAAUGGUGAUAUCAAACUUAACACCUGACUGACUUCUGAUAGUGCAAAAUACAAUCAAAUUAAGCUACAUGAAUAUAGCAAUGAAAUUUAAAGUCCAAUAAACAUAGGACCUGAUUCUGCAAUCCUUAGUCAUGUAAGUAGUCCUACUCAUCAAGAAUAAGGGAUGCAAGACUGGGUCCUCCUUAGCUUCUGCUUAGGAAGUCAAUGUUGAUUCAGAUAGUAUCUUUUCUAGCCAAAAAUAUGCAGCAAAAGGAAAGUAACAUAAACAAGGCUAAAUGUCAACAGUGUUUGCAGACUUACAGACACCAUCCAUUUGUUUGUAUUGAAAUGACUAGCGAACCAUUUGGCAAAUACAAUGCUAUUCACAGACAGGCCCUUUUCUCCAGCAACACAAACUUCACUGGAUCACUGGCAUUCCCAGUUAAUUAAAAAAAGGAAGCAAGCCAUAUGAGUUUGGUUUGAUAUUGCCAUGCAAAUGGCACGGCGACAUCCAAAAGCACGGCUGAAACCCAGGCAUGGGGCCGAGGUGCUGAUCUGUUCAGCAGUACAGCGCAUGCACUACAGGCAGGCCUCGGACCUCCUAACUGAAACUACAGAAACCUCUUCAAAAUCACCAUAAUGGGGUAAAGAACAGUCUGCAGCAAAACUUCCAUAUAAUUUCAUUCUGCUUUCAGGGAAAAGAAUAUAGUAGUUACUCCUUCAACUGCAGAUCAGGACUAAAUGUUGGGCUACUUAGGUGCAUCACAAGAUAGUUUAAAGGAGUUCAAUGACUUGCUGCAGUAGGAUGACAUUCCAUUGCCUUGUAGCUGUCCCAGAGCUUAAAUAGAUUAGGCCUUUUGCUUCUGUUUGAUAUAGAUUUUAUAAUUUAAAAGAGCUGCAAUAAGGAUUCAAGUGAAGCCACCACAAACAAUUAAAAAUCUUUUUCUGUAUUUUAUAUGUUGGUGGUAGUUCUGAAGGGGUUAGCAUUAUAAUCUUUUUGGUUUUGACACCUGUGGCAAUAAGCAAUUUACAACAACUAAAUUCACUAUUUAAACAUUGGGGUAGAGCACUAUAAUUAUGUGACAGUAAAGCUGUAAUAAUCUGCCACAAUUGAUCUUCCCCUUGCCCAGCCCUCUUGUCUGUGCUGCAGUUCCACAUUUGGAAGGUAUUUCAGAAAGUUACAAUGCUGAACAUUUUAAUAAUUCUGUGCAAUGCUGAAUGCUUUCUGCUCCAAAGGAAACUGAAAGCGCUCAGCCUCUGCAGGCUCAGAACUCCAAAGCUGCUACCAAACAUCCAAAGGGCCCUGCCCUGCUUUCCUACAGUGAAAUAAGGGAUAAUGGGGUGGAGCCUACACAGGAAAAAACAGCACUAAUUGCAGAGGAAAGCGAGCAUGAAUGGAAGCAAAUUAGAUUUACAGAGACAACACGGAACUAAUACUUUUGGACAUCAUUAAGUGUGGGUUCAAUAGCACUAAUCCAUUAAGCAACCAGCUAAUGCCCAGGACCAUCUCUGGCCAAUAGUUCUGUAGCCUACCAGCUCUUCUUUGAAAGCCUAAGCACUUCCCAUGCAAAAAAUGCAAGUAGGGAAAUUUUACCAUCCUAGACACAAAGCAGGAAAAUUUAAAGGCGAGGAGAGAGAGAAAAGGAAUGGAUCUUGUCAUAACCAGAUGCUGUGCAAAUCAUGUGUAAAUUCAUGACUUGGAUCAUUAUUGUGAUACAACUACAUGUAUAUGGGAAGACAAGCAGAGAAAGAGAGCAUAAAGUCAAAGGAAAACAGAUCUGCCAAAACUUGAAUACAAAGUAGUUCUAGAACCUCCAAGCAUAAUUUCUUAAAUGAGCAAGGGCUGUGAAAGCAGGGUACACAGAAGCUCAAGCCAGCUACCAAGCCAUGGAGACAUAGCCCUGGGCUUCCCCUCCACGCAGGGCUACUGGCUGACAAGCAGCAAGGAAAGACAUGUCUGCUUCUUACAAACUGCAUGGUAGCAAAGAUUAACAAGAUUGGCCCCUAGGUAUAGUCACUUGAGACUCCAAAACCAAGUACAGGUCAGGAGUAACUCUAAAUUCAUCAAUGGUAUUUUAUUAUUUCUUUCUGUUCUUUCCUACACAAGUAAAGGAGAAAUACUAAAAAUAUUUGUGAUUUUUUUCUCAGCAGCAUUUUGGCGUGCAAAUUUCUAUAUUAUGCAGCAAUUAUGGUUCUUUCCUAACCGUGUCUUUCAUCCCUACAGCCUGAAGCAUGGUAGGAGCAUAAAUGGAUGAUGCAUCAAUGGUCUCUCUCAUUCUACAUAUAGGGAAACUGAGGACUGUCUCCCCCAUGUGUGGUGACCUUCCAAAACAAUAAUGUGAGUUGGUGGCAUUCUCCUUUAGAGAUUAAAUCCUUUCUGUGCCAAGAUUUGUCCUUAAAACCUAACCCAUUAUCUCAAGGUAAAAUCUGCCAACUAAAAAUGACCCAUGUGGAUCAUUGAAAAUCCCAGCUUGUUUUUAUGCAGCCAGAAAUUUAACUCAAUUAGCGUGGCCAAUCAAAGAUGCAAUCUCAGCUAACUGAAGCUGAGAUAUUUUAUUUGAAUUUUACUUCCACUGUAUCCUGACUGUGGAAAAGAGCACCACACCUUGCUGUCUUGAUUGUGCAAGGACUGUAUCAAGUGUACCAGUGUUCUCUCUUGAGAUGUCAACAACCCACACAUUGGCUGUAAAAAGAAAGGCAGAUGCACAGAGUCUCCCAAAAUACAAAGGAACACAAGAAUAAUGCCCUGGAAUUGGGUGCUGGAGGUGGGUCUCAAGUUUUCUGGUCUCUCAGGCAGUAGGAGAGACAAAGGGAACCUCAACUAAGGUCAUGGGCUUUGUGCAAGAGGGAAGGAAGGCUAAUAAAUGAAGACGGUGCUCCUGAUGGCUAAUCUACAAACACAGAAACAUCAGGUGAGAUUCCCAACACUAGCAUGCACAGAUGGAGUGUGAAUUCACAGUAUAAAAUGCCACUGAGAAUAUGGAAACUCCCCAAAAAUCAUUACUUUCAAGUGGGCAGUGUCCAAGCCAACCAAAUAGAAAAUAAACUACUGACACGGGGCUUGUUCAUACUCAUCCACUUUUACUGUGCGAUAUUGAGAAAAAUGAAAUAAUAUAUUUAAAUAGUCAGCCCUAAUGCUUAUAUUCUGCAAACACUCAAUAGAUCGUCAGUGAAGAAUUUUAAAAAGCUAUUUUUGGAGGGGGGGAAAGCAGAACUCGCACUGCAUUUUCCAUUAAAAAAUGGCUUAAAACGUAGAACAGACAAGCUUCUGUUGGCUUUUUUGUCCCUUCAUACUUCUACUCGAAUCCAUUAUCACUGGGCAGAGUUUGUGAAAGGGAUACGGUCUUUAAAACCAUAUAAACUCAAGACAUCAUAAAAUGUCUGUUGAAUAGAUUGGAAGAUGAAACAAAAAACUAAGGCAAGUAAGAUGACCUCAUUUCAAAAAUAAGUUUAGAGGGUGGUUUUUACGUUGUUUUAAAAAUCUUAUGUCUGGGAAAGAGUAUAAAGAUAUUUUGUACAAAGCUACUAAUCUUGGUUUUCCAAUUUUUUACUUGUUUGUUUGAAGAGUCAUUUCUCUGCUGUAUUUUUUUUUUUUUUUUUAACUGGUUGAUUGUACUCCACAGCUAGAGGAAAAAAGAUAAAAUCCAAGUACCAGCUGCAAAUUAAAUCAACUAUCAACUAUUUUCAAAACAUCAGUAAUGUAACUGCUGAUUUUGAAGAAUCUGGAAAUAUUUCCAACUCUCUGAAUUAAUUCUUAGUGCAAUGAGACAUGGAAGUUUACAAGUAACGCUGUGCAGAUACUUGGGCUCGUGAUUCAGUUUAAGUAAUGACAAUAUGGUGGAGCCCAAAUGCUCCAAGAAUACAAAUGAGAUAAACUUUGUGAGGAGAAAUCAGACUUUUUCAUCAGACCAACUAAUACACUUGAAAAAGCAGGGAGGGGCCUGAAGAAAGGGUUAUGGCUUUAAGCACAUAUACUAUCCUAGUAAAGUCAAAGCUCCUACUAACCUUAGGUUAACCAGGGUAACCACUCUUAAGUGUUUGCAGAUUUAGGAUUUUAUUUUAAAUUGCCAGGCUUUAAAACUGUUGAACACAUUUUCUUUCCUUUUUUUUUUUUUUUUUUUUAACUUCGGUACAUUUUAGUAUGCAUGUUCAGCUCUGACAAGGUUUUCUGAUUGGUUUGAAGGUUAAGUGAAACAACCAUUACCAAAAUUUUUGUGUUGUUUGCUGCCUCUGCUUUUUAAAGUGAUAUUGUUUUUCACAGGAUUUGCAUUCUAAAAUCUCUUUCAAACA
ensembl:lncRNA